rnacentral:rRNA from 1 species
UACGGGGGGGGCAAGCGUUGUUCGGAAUUACUGGGCGUAAAGGGCUCGUAGGUGGCCAACUAAGUCGGACGUGAAAUCCCUCAGCUUAACUGGGGAACUGCGUCCGAUACUGGAUGGCUUGAGUUUGGGAGAGGGAUGCGGAAUUCCAGGUGUAGCGGUGAAAUUCGUAGAUAUUCGGAAGAACACCAGUGGCGAAGGCGACUUACUGGACACAUAUUGACGCUGAGGUGCGAAAGCGUGGGGAGCAAACAGG